rnacentral:rRNA from 1 species
AGCGAACGCUGGCGGCAGGCUUAACACAUGCAAGUCGAGGGGCAGCAUAAUGGAUAGCAAUAUCUAUGGUGGCGACCGGCGCACGGGUGCGUAACGCGUAUGCAACCUACCUUUAACAGGGGGAUAACACUGAGAAAUUGGUACUAAUACCCCAUAAUAUCAUAGAAGGCAUCUUUUAUGGUUGAAAAUUCCGAUGGUUAGAGAUGGGCAUGCGUUGUAUUAGCUAGUUGGUGGGGUAACGGCUCACCAAGGCGACGAUACAUAGGGGGACUGAGAGGUUAACCCCCCACACUGGUACUGAGACACGGACCAGACUCCUACGGGAGGCAGCAGUGAGGAAUAUUGAUCAAUGGACGCAAGUCUGAACCAGCCAUGCCGCGUGCAGGAUGACGGCUCUAUGAGUUGUAAACUGCUUUUGUACGAGGGUAAACGCAGAUACGUGUAUCUGUCUGAAAGUAUCGUACGAAUAAGGAUCGGCUAACUCCGUG